CACCUCUAGCAUUUCCAGUAUUAGAGGCACUGCCUGCCCAGUGACAUCUGUUUAAACGGCCGCGGUAUCCUAACCGUGCAAAGGUAGCAUAAUCACUUGUUCCCUAAAUAGGGACUUGUAUGAAUGGCCACACGAGGGUUUUACUGUCUUUUACUUCCAAUCAGUGAAAUUGACCUUCCCGUGAAGAGGCGGGAAUGACUAAAUAAGACGAGAAGACCCUAUGGAGCUUUAAUUAACUGAUUCACAAAAAACAACACACAAACCUAAUCUUCAGGGAUAACAAAACUUUUGAUUGAAUCAGCAAUUUCGGUUGGGGUGACCUCGGAGAACAAAACAACCUCCGAGUGAUUUAAAUCCAGACUAACCAGUCAAAAUAUAUAAUCACUUAUUGAUCCAAACCAUUGAUCAACGGAACAAGUUACCCUAGGGAUAACAGCGCAAUCCUAUUCCAGAGUCCAUAUCGACAAUUAGGGUUUACGACCUCGAUGUUGGAUCAAGACAUCCUAAUGGUGCAACCGCUAUUAAGGGUUCGUUUGUUCAACGAUUAAAGUCUU
rnacentral:rRNA from 1 species